rnacentral:lncRNA from 1 species
CUUUCAGGUGCAGACAUGGGAUCCAGGAAAGGUUGGGCUCAUUCUUGAGGUAGCCAGGCUCCAAGCACCUGAAGUUCUUCUGAGUCAGAGAAGCAACUGCAUUCAUUACAGCUAAUGAAGUUUGCAAAAGGAGGUCAGAGGAGGGCUGUGCCAACAACUGUCCCCAGAGCUCAACAUCAUUUCAUCAUGCUGGUCCUUACCCACAGCUGAGAUCUGCUCAUCCGGCCUCGGCAAAAGACAAUGCAUUUGAGUUCGUGGAGAACAUUCUUGCUAUUGUAUAUUCGGUACAUAUCUACAUGGAUGCGGCCAUCGUCCAAACUCUAGUGAUUCUCACUGCUGGUUUUAAAAUCACUUGGAAGAAGACAUUUAGAAAACAUCAAAGUGGUCUGAUGGGAUCUUCUAAGAGCUGAACAUUGACUAUAUCCAUUAAAGUUACGUCUA